UGGGGGAUAGCCCGGCGAAAGCCGGAUUAAUACCGCAUACGAUCUACGGAAGAAAGCGGGGGAUCCUUCGGGACCUCGCGCUAUAGGGGCGGCCGAUGGCAGAUUAGCUAGUUGGUGGGGUAAAGGCCUACCAAGGCGACGAUCUGUAGCUGGUCUGAGAGGACGACCAGCCACACUGGGACUGAGACACGGCCCAGACUCCUACGGGAGGCAGCAGUGGGGAAUUUUGGACAAUGGGGGAAACCCUGAUCCAGCAAUGCCGCGUGUGUGAA
rnacentral:rRNA from 1 species